UCACCCGGGGGGCGGGGCCCGCGCUCAAAUACAUCUGCGCUUCGGUGAGACAGGGGCCGAGGGGGCGUGGCCAAAGGGAGCGCGGCCUAACCACAAGACCGCGGUGGAGCCUUCUGUGAACCAUUACAUUAGGGUGCCACCAUGGAAUUCUUCAAUUACCCACCCCCUCCCUGAUGUUUAUAGUUACAAACUAUAUCUUUUGUGAGCUACAGCUCACUUAAAUAAAGCUUGCAGGGAUUGCAAGUGUGACUUCUCCAUACCCCCUAACUAUAAAGCAUCCCCAUUGCCCUAUAUUCUGUUUGAUUUGGGAAGGGGUGUUAUGGUUGGUAUAACUGCAGGCUCAUGAGCAGCUAAAAAUCCUUGCUGUGUGGCGCCCAGCUUACUGUUGAGCUCCCUCCCAAACCCUGACUGUCUACCGCUAAAGCCUGUAUGAAGCAGCCUGGGGAAAGCUCUGAUUGCACCUAGUUUCUAUAUGCAGUGAGAAUGUGCCUUAGGCUAAGGUGGGGUGGAUUGUUGUGGCACACCUCCCUCCGUUUACCUGAGCAGAAAGCCAAACGAAGAUCGGUGAUACAGCAAGGAAGAAGAUCACAGCCACAAAUUUGUUCAGCAAUUGGCCCCCACCUGGAGGCUUUGUUUGGAUAAAGACCUGAAAAGUUGCUUAGAAUGCAGGGAGGGGAGAGAAUACAGCCCCUUUCUCAGCCACUCUCCAGAGCGGGAGAGUCCAAUCAACAGCAGAGAAGCAAAAAAGGAAAUGAAUGGGAAGUUGAAUGAAGAAGAAAGUGAGGAGUGUGUGUGUAAAAAGAAAAGGAAGCUGACAUGGGCCAGCCAUAGGUGUUUCAUUUCACUGAAGUGGUGACAGACUCUUGAGUGAGACAGUGUGUGGGAGACAGAGUCUCUGUGUGUACCUGUACUCUGGCUAGAGAAGCAUUACAAGAUACAGCUCUGUGGGCUGUCCACGCUAUAAUGAGAAAACCACUAAAUAGGUACAAACCUGUCAUGAAACUACUACUAAACCUGUUUGACAGCAUAAACCUACCCAUUCCACUCUAUGGGAGUAAAGUCAGGUGUUACUUCCACAGCCUGCUGUAUCAGUGAUGACAAAUCCCUACAUCUUAGUUUGCAAAUAGCUACAAUAGGAUACAAGAAAUGGAAACAGGAAACAACAGCUGUAGAGCAGAACUAAGGCACUUUACCCU